rnacentral:rRNA from 1 species
GAUGAACGCUGGCGGCGUGCCUAAUACAUGCAAGUCGAGCGAACAGACGAGGAGCUUGCUCCUCUGACGUUAGCGGCGGACGGGUGAGUAACAUGUGGAUAACCUACCUAUAAGACUGGGAUAACUUCGGGAAACCGGAGCUAAUACCGGAUAAUAUAUUGAACCGCAUGGUUCAAUAGUGAAAGACGGUUUUGCUGUCACUUAUAGAUGGAUCCGCGCCGCAUUAGCUAGUUGGUAAGGUAACGGCUUACCAAGGCAACGAUGCGUAGCCGACCUGAGAGGGUGAUCGGCCACACUGGAACUGAGACACGGUCCAGAAUCCUACGGGAGGCAGCAGUAGGGAAUCUUCCGCAAAGGGCGAAAGCCUGACGGAGCAACGCCGCGUGAGUGAUGAAGGUCUUCGGAUCGUAAAACUCUGUUAUUAGGGAAGAACAAAUGUGUAAGUAACUAUGCACGUCUUGACGGUACCUAAUCAGAAAGCCACGGCUAACUACGUG